CGUUUGAAGAGAUUUAAGUAUGAAUCUAAAAUUUUCCACUCUCAACAUUUAAAAUAUGUAAGUCUAUACACCAAACUACAUAAAAUAAAAUAAAAAAUUAAAUUGUAUCAUCAUUAUUCACACGAUGAAAUUGAAUUCAUUCAUAACACAUGAAGGGUUGUACACGCACAUGACAUUUGGACUUGGUAAACAAACAUAAAAUUUCACAGUAUAUUACAAAAAAUUAAUACGACGUACUAAUUUAGGCAAACAAGCUUACCCAAUUAUUCCUUCAAAAAAAAAAAAAUGCUUACCCAAUUAUUAGUUUGACGAAACACACUUAAGAAAUCUACACAAACAAAUGUUUCAACAAACUACUAGUACACACAUUAACAACUACAUAAAACAAUGACAAUAAAAAAACAAAGUGAUAUCAACACACUCUUUCAAACUCUUGUUAAUAUUGGUUGAAAUGCACUUGAGUUUUAGUAAUUCAUGUCUGUCACAUUUCCAAUGUGAAUGUAAAUAUCUCUGAAUUUCAAUCCAUAAUAGAGCAAAUGUUAUUAAGAGAGUGUGUUAUUAACAAUGAUCCACAAUUAUUAUAUAAUGCAAAUACAUACUUAUUCAACAACGAGACAUACGCGAACUAAUUUGAAUCCUUAGGGACAUUGGAAACCAGAAGGAACGGUUUUUUGACAUGCACUAAGGAUNNN
rnacentral:lncRNA from 1 species